UUCUUUUUUUUUUUUUUCUUUUUUUAUUAAAAGACAGUUAACUCAUCACCCUUUUUGGGUUCAAAGUAUGAAUCUUCCAUUCUGGGACUGAUUCUUUCUUUGCAUCUCAUGUUUGGGUUGGGGCUAAUGAGGAUUAUAAGAAUUUCCUUUGACAUGUCUGUAAUUGUAGCAUCUGAGACAUGAGCCAAGACAUAACCUGAAGGACAACCUGAACUAUAUACUGUGAGGCUUCACUUCCAAAAAAUGUUAUGCAGAAUGUUAUGAUCAGAGCCUGGCACUAUAAAAAUGUUAGCUGUUAUUUUAACUAUUACCUCAUAGCUUAAAUUUGUCAAAAAGAAAAAAAAAAAAAAAAAAAAAACGAUGACAGUGAGCAGUAAAGGGUUUCAUUGAAAAUGAUGUUGAGAGUGCUGCAGUGGAUCCUUAUUUAUUUAUUUAUUUAUUUAUUUAUUUAUUUAGUAGAAUUUUGUUUAUUUGAUGCUGGAAGACUAUUUUAAAAAAUAUUUUAUGUGUAUGAGGAGGUUUGCCUGUCUCUAUGGCUGGUGCCUGUGGAGGUGUAGUGGCUAUUCCUGGUUGUAUAUUUGGAAUGAUUUACAAUCUAGAAAUGGAGGGUUCACCUGUGAUCCAGAUCUUGAAGCUGGAAGACACAAGUUUCUGACCUGGAUCUUAGCAUGGAGAUCUUGAGGCACAGUGGCUGUGAAAAGUUUAGGCCCAGACAAGGUAGUACAAGCCUUUAAUCUCAGGAGACUAAGGCAAGGAGAUCUCUGAGUUCAAGGUCAGCCUGAGAGAAAACAAGUUCCAGACCCUGGGGUGGUGGCUCACACCUUUAACCUCGGCCACACCUUCUGCUGGAGACCUACGUAAGACCAUUAGAAGAAGGAAGAUUCCGCCUUCUUCGACUGCUUGCAUUUACUUCCAGCACAUCUGUGGGAAUCUACUUCUACAGAAGACCAGCUGAAACAACCGAACUCAUGGGACUGAGCAACUACUAGAUCCUUGGACUUCCCAUUCACAUCUGACCAUUGUUGGGGUAGUUGGACUAUAGGCUGAAAGUCAUCACAGCAAAUUCCCUUAAUAUAUAGAGACAUUCCUUUGACUCUAGAGAACCCUGACUAAUACAGGAGGCCAGAAGAAACUGUUGAGUCCCUUGUAGUUGGAGUUACGGAAGGUUGUGAGCUGCCAUGUGCGUGCUGGGAGCCAAACCUGAGUCCUUUGGAAGAAUAGUCAGGGCUCUUAACCACUGGGCCAUCUCUCCAGUCCCUCAAGGACUGUUUUAUUAGUUUGAUUCCUCCAGCCAGGAACUUUGUGUAAACUACCAGGCUGGUUUCAGAUUCACAGAAGUCUGUUCACCUGCUUUGCAGGUGAUUGCUGAGGUUAGAUGUGUGCCACCAUACCCAACAUAAGUUUUACGUUUCUCCACUGGGUGAAUUCAGGAACCUAAUUGCUAGACCAUAUGGGACACAUUUCAUUAAUAGGAGAGGCCAAUUUUAAAUAUCCACAGCUUUCAAGAGAGAAAUAGAGAAGAAGAAAGUCAUUUUUUUGAGUUAGGGUCCAGGAAAGAUGGGCAGUAGAGGUCUUUAAGAAGCUGUAAUGGGGGAAAGGCCUUUAGAGAAAGGUUGGGCAAGCCUGCUAACAAUGUUGUCUGCAAUCGUGCAUUUAUGUACACACACCCCAUACACAAACAACC
rnacentral:lncRNA from 1 species